rnacentral:rRNA from 1 species
UACGUAGGCAGCGAGCGUUGUUCGGAGUUACUGGGCGUAAAGGGUGUGUAGGCGGUUGUUUAAGUUUGGUGUGAAAUCUCCCGGCUCAACUGGGCGGGGUCAGCGGAUACGGCGGAGCUUGAGCAAGCUAGGGGGCAAUGGAAUUCCCGGUGUAGUGGUGGAAUGCGUAGAUAUCGGGAGGAACACCAGUGGCGAAGGCGGUUGCCUGGGGCUUUGCUGACGCUGAUGCGCGAAAGCGUGGGGAGCGAUCCGG